GCGUGUUAGNUCACUUUAAUGUGUCCUUGCUGAAUAAAAGUAUUAAUUAUACUGUCUCAAACUUCUGAACAGUAGUGUAUGAAUGUUCCAGUUCUUGUUGUUUUCACUCUCAUUAUCACUGCUCUCUUCAGUGUGUGUUUCUGAUUGGUCAGCAGGCAGCAGUGGGUGUGGCUCAGAGAAACCCAGUGUCAGUGACAUCAUUAACCUUGAGAUGUUGCACCUUGGUGGAUCUAAACUGAAAUCAAGUAACACACAGUCAGGCUGGUCCUGUCCUUCCUGUACAUUCAUAAAUAAGUCUACGAGACCCGGCUGUGAAAUCUGCAUCACAGAUCGACCCAAUCCUCUCAAUCACAGCAGCGUUCAGCAGGUGAUUUCACUACAGCUACAUCUACACCUGUUCACUGUGCUGGAACACUGUGUGCUGAUGUUUAUUCUCUUUCUGUUUUAGGAACAAGCAAGAAGAUCGAACCUGUGAAACUGUGCUGUAAAUACACACAAACCCUAAGAUUAUCUCACAUUCAAACGACAUGCAAGGAACUAAACUACUAUUAGCUGCUAGUAGUUUUAAUAAGAGUUGACUUGCACACAAAGCUUCAAUCUCUCACAGUGACUGUGUGGUAUAUUUCACCGGUGGCUUCAUCUCUGGUGCUUUACAGUGCAGUUAAUAGUAACUGAUCUUAUGCUUGGUUCCUCUUAAAGGAGUUGUGACAUGGAUUUGCUUUUGAGCUUAAUUAAUACAUUCUUUGUUUAUAAUGAAGAAGAUGUUUUGAGUUAUGAAACUCACAGGCUCGAGGAAAAAUGAGAUUUCUCAUGUCACGAGUCGUUAAAUGGAGUGAUGUAACUGUUGAGCAGUAUUAGGCUUCAGAAGUGAUCCUGGUUCAUUUUAUGAGCGAGCAAAAACAAAGCAGAAACCCAAUCAUCUGUGGCUCUAGAUGGUGCAAACUAUUUAGGAACUUUACUUUGCAAGUUGCACAUGAGUUUUUGUUUCAAAUAGGACAUUAUAAGUAUCUUUUAGCUUUAGUUGUUGAUUCAGAUGAGUAAUAUGAAUAAGGAAACAACACUGUGUAAAAUAUUAAACAUUCAGCGUUUGUGCAAAUCAGUGUUCAUAUUCGUUCACUGGAACUGGACAAAUAUUUGUGUUUAAUUUAUGUUCAUCAAGCUCUAUUUUAGGGGCUUGAGUUUUAAGGUAAAUGUGACUGUAUAUCAUUAUGUGACGAGGCCAGUACAUAGUGUGAAAAACAACUGAAGGAAACUUGCAUAAAUACAUGUUAUGUGAAUGAUAUGAUCUAAUUAUUCCUUCUCUAAUUGACUAGGAAUUCUCAUUGAAGACUUUGUUCAUGUUUGGAACAAACUACAUUUAGACACAGGGUUAUUGAGUGAAUUUAUUUUAUUUUUCUACAUAGCGUGUUAUUUAAUGAACAAUCUGUUGCUUUGAAUGUAAUUAUAAUUGAGCUGAAUAUGUGUGUGUUGUUAAUGAUUGUGUUUAAAGUCUACACUGCUUUGCUGUGAAUAAACAUAAUGAACCGAGAAGUUUAAGAGUAAUC
ensembl:lncRNA